rnacentral:rRNA from 1 species
CUGCUUCGCUGACGAGUGGCGGACGGGUGAGUAAUGUCUGGGAAACUGCCUGAUGGAGGGGGAUAACUACUGGAAACGGUAGCUAAUACCGCAUAACGUCGCAAGACCAAAGAGGGGGACCUUCGAGCCUCUUGCCAUCGGAUGUGCCCAGAUGGGAUUAGCUAGUAGGUGGGGUAACGGCUCACCUAGGCGACGAUCCCUAGCUGGUCUGAGAGGAUGACCAGCCACACUGGAACUGAGACACGGUCCAGACUCCUACGGGAGGCAGCAGUGGGGAAUAUUGCACAAUGGGCGCAAGCCUGAUGCAGCCAUGCCGCGUGUAUGAAGAAGGCCUUCGGGUUGUAAAGACUUUUCAGCGGGGAGGAAGGGAGUAAAGUUAAUACCUUUGCUCAUUGACGUUACCCGCAAAAGAAGCACCGGCUAACUCCGUGCCACCAGCCGCGGUAAUACGGAGGGUGCAAGCGUUAAUCUGAAUUACUGGGCGUAAAGCGCACGCAGGCGGUUUGUUAAGUCAGAUGUGAAAUCCCCGGGCUCAGCCUGGGAACUGCAUCUGAUACUGGCAAGCUUGAGUCUCGUAGAGGGGGGUAGAAUUCCAGGUGUAGCGGUGAAAUGCGUAGAGAUCUGGAGGAAUACCGGUGGCGAAGGCGGCCCCCUGGACUAAGACUGACGCUCAGGUGCGAAAGCGUGGGGAGCAAACAAGAUUACAUACCCUGCUACUCCACGCCGUAAACAAUGUCGACUUGGAGGUUGUGCCCUUGAGGCGUGGCUUCCGGAGCUAACGCGUUAAGUCGACCGCCGUG